GAAUAUUGGACAAUGGGCGAAAGCCUGAUUCAGCAAUGCCGCGUGAGUGAUGAAGGCCCUAGGGUUGUAAAGCUCUUUUACUCGGGAUGAUAAUGACAGUACCGGGAGAAUAAGCACCGGCUAACUCCGUGCCAGCAGCCGCGGUAAUACGGAGGGAGCUAGCGUUGUUCGGAAUUACUGGGCGUAAAGCGCACGUAGGCGGCUUUGUAAGUUAGAGGUGAAAGCCCGGGGCUCAACCCCGGAAUUGCCUUUAAGACUGCAUCGCUUGAAUCCAGGAGAGGUGAGUGGAAUUCCGGGUGUAGAGGUGAAAUUCGUAGAUAUUCGGAAGAACACCAGUGGCGAAGGCGGCUCACUGGACUGGUAUUGACGCUGAGGUGCGAAAGCGUGGGGAGCAAACAG
rnacentral:rRNA from 1 species